rnacentral:rRNA from 1 species
ACGCACAGUUUAUACCGUAGCUUGCUACACCAUAGACUGUGAGUUGCGAACGGGUGAGUAACGCGUAGGUAACCUGCCUAUUAGAGGGGGAUAACUAUUGGAAACGAUAGCUAAUACCGCAUAACAGUAUGUAACACAUGUUAGAUGCUUGAAAGAUGCAAUUGCAUCGCUAGUAGAUGGACCUGCGUUGUAUUAGCUAGUAGGUAGGGUAAAGGCCUACCUAGGCAACGAUACAUAGCCGACCUGAGAGGGUGAUCGGCCACACUGGGACUGAGACACGGCCCAGACUCCUACGGGAGGCAGCAGUAGGGAAUCUUCGGCAAUGGGGGGAACCCUGACCGAGCAACGCCGCGUGAGUGAAGAAGGUUUUCGGAUCGUAAAGCUCUGUUGUUAAGGAAGAACGAGUGUGAGAAUGGAAAGUUCAUACUGUGACGGUACUUAACCAGAAAGGGACGGCUAACUACGUGCCAGCAGCCGCGGUAAUACGUAGGUCCCGAGCGUUGUCCGGAUUUAUUGGGCGUAAAGCGAGCGCAGGCGGUUAGAAAAGUCUGAAGUGAAAGGCAGUGGCUCAACCAUUGUAGGCUUUGGAAACUGUUUAACUUGAGUGCAGAAGGGGAGAGUGGAAUUCCAUGUGUAGCGGUGAAAUGCGUAGAUAUAUGGAGGAACACCGGUGGCGAAAGCGGCUCUCUGGUCUGUAACUGACGCUGAGGCUCGAAAGCGUGGGGAGCGAACAGGAUUAGAUACCCUGGUAGUCCACGCCGUAGACGAUGAGUGCUAGGUGUUAGGUCCUUUCCGGGACUUAGUGCCGU